rnacentral:lncRNA from 1 species
GCUGGAGUGCCUUCACCCAUUUGGAAUGAGACGUUCCUGGAGUGAUUGAGGCGCUGUUUCGUUGCUAUGUCCAGUCCAGGGUAUGCAUGCCUGCCUGUUAUUCUCUUUUCCUAUGUCCAGUCCAAGGUAUGCAUGCCUGUUAUUCUCUGGAGAGACUGAGACUCUGUUUCGUUGCUUAAGACUCUGUUUUGUGUUGAACCGUCCAAGAGUACUGAUCUCAUGUGCUAUAUUGUAGACCGUGUAAACAUGGCUAUCUGUACAUUGUGGUUAUAUGUCGUCUCCGUGAACCAUUGUGGUUAUAUAUCGUGUGCGUGAAUCACUCUGAAAAAUGCGCUUGUCAUGGUGAAAUCUAAGCAGUACUAUACUGGCUAGAAAAAAAAG